rnacentral:rRNA from 1 species
UACGAAGGGGGCUAGCGUUGCCCGGAAUUACUGGGCGUAAAGGGUGCGUAGGCGGGUCUUUAAGUCAGGGGUGAAAUCCUGGAGCUCAACUCCAGAACUGCCUUUGAUACUGAAGAUCUUGAGUUCGGGAGAGGUGAGUGGAACUGCGAGUGUAGAGGUGAAAUUCGUAGAUAUUCGCAAGAACACCAGUGGCGAAGGCGGCUUACUGGUCCGGAACUGACGCUGAGGUGCGAAAGCGUGGGGAGCAAACAGG